GACGAACGCUGGCGGCGUGCUUAACACAUGCAAGUCGAACGGAAAGGCCCCUUUGGGGGUACUCGAGUGGCGAACGGGUGAGUAACACGUGAGUAACCUGCCCUUGACUUCGGGAUAACUUCAGGAAACUGGGGCUAAUACCGGAUAGGAAUCCUUGCUGCAUGGUGGGGGUUGGAAAGCUUCGGCGGUUUUGGAUGGACUCGCGGCUUAUCAGCUUGUUGGUGGGGUAGUGGCUUACCAAGGCUUUGACGGGUAGCCGGCCUGAGAGGGCGACCGGCCACAUUGGGACUGAGAUACGGCCCAGACUCCUACGGGAGGCAGCAGUGCGGAAUAUUGCACAAUGGGCGGAAGCCUGAUGCAGCAACGCCGCGUGCGGGAUGACGGCCUUCGGGUUGUAAACCGCUUUCAGCAGGGGCGAAGCUUGUGGUGACGGUACCUGCAGAAGAAGCACCGGCUAACUACGU
rnacentral:rRNA from 1 species